AUUGACUUGUCCAAAGGUUCAGAAUGUAUCUAAAAGAUCUAUUCUAUAGUCUACAUUUCUCCAUUCAGUUCCAUAUAUAUUGUAUCCAGGAUAGAACACACAUCCCCUUAUUCCCUUCUCCUAUUAUAUUCCGAUUUAGAAUAAUAAUAUUUAAAGGAACCUAGAGAUAAAUGUGUGGGAAUUUGGACUUUCAUUUUUUCUUUCCAAUUUGCCCUGUGCGUCAUAACUUUGUAAAGGAAAUUUACAUCUUUAAAGGAAAUCUCCAUUUUGUGAAGGCAUGUCUGUCUCGGCACCUAAUCACUAGAAACUUUAACUGGGUAGAAGUCAGUGGUUUAAAGUUUACAUAACAGA
rnacentral:lncRNA from 1 species